GGGGCGUGGCCUGGACGGCAGGGCGCGGCCUGGGCAAGGUGGGCAUGGCCCCCUCACAGGACAAGAAGCAGAGGACACACAGGGCCAGGGAUAGGUGGUGAUGUAACUGACCUGUCAGGUAAGGGUCAGUGGUGUGGGCGGGGUCAGGAGAGAAGGGGCGGGGCCACGCACAGUACAGGAAGUAGAAGACAGCAUGGCGGGGACACAAAGUGAAGCAGGGGUGUGGCAAGCGAGGGAGGCUUGGCCUAGACGUAAGGGCGGGACCUCGGCGGGGUGGGCGUGGCCCCACACAGCACAGGAAACAGAGCUCACACAAGGGUGAGAACAAGAAGUAACAUCACUGAGCAACCACUGUUGGGGUAAACCUGAGGGCACGGCCAGCAAGAGUGGGCGGGGUCCCCCCGGGCCCUGCCCACCUGCAGGAAGGGCACAAAGUCCUCCUGGAUGAGGCCACUACACCCGGGGUGGCCCAGCAGCCGCACGAACCGCGCAGCAUCAUCAUGGCAGGAAGUCCCUCUCCUUCGGACGUGAUUGACAGGAUCGACUUCCUACGGCUUCGUACAGACACAAGGCCCUGCGCACCCACACUGGCCCUUCCCCCCUGCGGGCUGUCCCUCACGCACUCACCGUCCUGGGUCCCGUCGUUCUCAGCGCGGGCCGCGGCAGCGGUCGGGAGGCGGGGUUAGGGUCGGAGGUCGUGUUUCCGGGGUCCGCAUCGGGGGUCGCGGCGGCGGCGGGGUCAGAGGUCGUCCCUGGGUCCCGGAUGCGGCGGAGGGCGUGGCUGAGCGCGCGCUGCGUGUGAGGAUCGCCGAGCCAGCGCCGGAAGAGCUCGUCCACCUUCAGCUGUAGCCGCGGCGUCAGCGGCGCCAUGGCAACCAGAAGGUGCGGAGCCGGAAGUGGGCAGAGACUGAUGGCAGAGGGGCGGAGCUCGGCAGAGAACGGAAGAGCUGCGGUGGGAAACUUUCGAUAGCCGAGGAUUCCAAAUAAAAAUCAACAUACAGGCGCGGGGAGUGAUGGCGUCACCGACGCGACAGAUGUGGGGUGGAGUCGGGCGAAUCCCGGAAGAACGUGCGGCGUAUAACCUCAGUCGGCCGUGGGUUCCACGAGAGGCUGCGUUCCGGGUGAUGGCGACACGGGUUACGCGACAACGGAAGGGGCGUGGUUGCAUCCGCAAACGCUCGGCAGUCACGGUUUCAAAAUAAAAAAUGGAAAAAAAAAAAAAAUCCUUGGCCCGGGCGCAGGCUGAUGGCAUCAGCAAGUCAGGUCGCCGCGUGGAGGCCGUGCGCGCAUGCGCAGUGACUUCCCCCGGCCACGGGCUCGCAUGCGCUGGGGGUGUGCGCCGGCUUGGGGUCCCGAUGCGUAUGCGCGUUGGGUUUCUGUUGCAGGCAGCGCACAUGCGCAUUGCGUUUACUUCCAAGUUGGCUGCACAUGCGUGUCGCAGAAGUGCGGGUCUGGCGAGUACAAAGAAGCCUGGCUUCGCGCAUGCGUAUCGUGACGUAUGACAGCGAGUAUGGCCUGGUGCCAUCAGUCAUCCUGGAAGCUCCGCUCACUUUUAAAAAAUAAUCUCAUUGG